GCCUGGCUAGCUCAAUGGCUAGAGCGUUUGACUUUUAUAAUCGCAUUUUGUAUGAUUUUAAAGGUAUCAAAAGGUUGCGGGUUCGACCCCCGCGUCGGGCU
rnacentral:tRNA from 1 species